CUGGGGCUGGCCUCCGAGCGGGGCUACAGCCCGCGUCCCGCCCCUUUCCCUGCCCCACGAACCCGGUGCUGCCCUCCUCUCCCUUUCCCGCUCCCUGGGGACCAGCUCAGUGGAGUCUGCGAUGCUCCCCGGGCUGAGAGCCUCCGGCUGUGAACCCCUGCUUCUCCUGGUGGAGUCGGGAAAAGGGAGCGUCAGUGCUGAGCGAGCUUCCGUCUCCUCCCUCAGUGUUUCUGCCCCAGUGAGAGGGCUCAGUAGUGCUUUGCCAGCAUGAUUUUGGGGCAAUUUGGGGGCAGAUAUCGUGCACAAGCAGUGAGAUAUUUCCAUGCAUUUUACUUUCCGGACAUCACCAUGGAACAUGUGGGGGUUUGUGCCUGCAGGCCGGGAUGCUGCAGGACUCCCUGGUCCAUCACCGUUAUGUCUUGGAGCUGCUCCAGUCAGUGAAUGACUUUCUGUGGCUUGGAGUACGUUUUGGUUACUGAGACCCUCGAAUUCCCAUAUGAAUUGUAGCAGCAGCUAGUCAGUUUCUGCAGAGGAGCCCGCAGGGAUUGUGAUCGAGACCACGUUGAAUAUACGGAUCGUUCUGGGGAGCACUGCCAUUCCAAGAGCGCUGUCUUCUGAUCCAGGAAUGUGCGUGGUUUGUCUGUCCAGGUGAUACUGCUCUGGUUGCUGAAUGUGCCCUUUCCCCAGACUUGGUUUUGGAGUUAAGUCACCAUCAGUGGAGCCCUCUCUUUAAAAGAUGAAGAAAACAUUUGCUCCUUCUCCCUGGUUGGGGACUUGGAUGAGAUGAGAGUUCUACAUAUAGUUGGUUACAUUCUGUACCUGGAAAUUUCUCCAAAACUUCUUCCCACGUGCCCUCACCUCCAGUAGCAUCCAUGCAGACACCAGAACUGACACUGGCCGUGCUCAGAACUGCCUCAGCCCUGAAGACACAACUGACAAAUAGAAGGGGGCCACGCCCUGUUACAGCAGGUGCUCUCACUUUGUGGAUCCUUAUGUAACUGCGUGGUGUUAAUCAGGAUCGCCCGUUCUACAUUGUGUGGCACUGCUGCGGUGUCUCCUAGUUACUUGUUUCUCUCGCUUUAUUCACUCAGGGGAAUAUCAUGGACGUCCGCCCAAUCCAGACUCACCCGGUCCUUUCAGAUAGAUUGGAGGGGUCUCCUGAUGUGUGGGUGUCGUCUCUUGUCCACGGACACAUUUGGUGGGAGAGUGCUGUGGACAAGGCCCUGGACCACGGUGAAACGCCGGCUCCCUCAGCGCCCGCAGCUCGCCUUGAUUUACCGCAUCAUUGUCUUGAUGUUGGACAGUUAAGUUUUCUCCAUUUUCCACUGUCAGAAAGAAUGUUUGAGUUGCAUCCUUUUUGUACAGACAUUCCUGUGAUCUUGUAUGUGUAUUCCUUUAGUUAAGGCUUCUGGAAAUUUAGUCCCUGGAUGUGACAUUUACAUUCAUCACAGACUCCUUUCAAGAGACUAGAAAUUCCUUCUCCAUUGGGGAAUGAAAAAAUGCACAAUUACUUAUGUAACCAAUUCUCUAUCGCUGGAUAUGAUUUCACUUCAGUUUUUCUUCCCACCUUUGUAAACAGUGCUGUCUAAAUGCCCUGAUGGGUAUAUCUUUUUGGACUGAUUUUUUUUUCUUAAAGGAAACGAUUCCUAGAAGUGGAGUUGAGUCAGUGUGUAUGUACGUUUUUCAGAGCUUACAAAUCCAUUGAUAUGUCAUCCUCUGAAAAAGUCGCUCAUGAUUUGUUCUCCCACAGAUGGACACUAGCUAGAAUAUCUUAAAAAUAUUUGCCAAUAUGAUAAGCAAAAGUGCUUUUUCAUUGUUUUUGUUUGCAUUUGAUUACCAGUGAAGUUUUGAGCAUUUUUCACUCAUUAGCCAUUUGACUUUUUUAAAAUGAAUGAUUCCUUUUGUCCUUUGCCCACAUUUAAGUGAGGGAGCUUCUUGUUGCUUUGUGACAGCUUUUUGUAUGUUAUGAAAAUUAACUUCGUGAAUUCAUCAACAUGUAUCACAGAGCUUUUUCUUGUCAUUUCUUUCCUUUCAUUUUGUUCAGGAAGUUUUUUGAUUUUUGUUGUGGCUCAAACUAUUCUUAAGAUAGUAAAUGUCUUCCUUAUGGGUUUUAUCUUUGACAUUAUUCUUAGAAAUACUCUCUUAUAAUGGAAUAAAUCUCUUCUGUAGGUUUUUUUAAUCUCUAAGAUGCAGAUUAUAAUAGUACAUGUUAUAGUGAGGAGAAUUUGAGUUAAUUAGAGCAAAGAGUUGUAUUUGCUGUUACUAGUACUUUUUAAUAUUUACAUCACUAUCUGCAAUUUAUCUUGUGGUCAUUAUGACAGGAAUAGAAUUUAUUCUUUCCAGGUGAUUCUCUGUCCCAGGACAAUUAUCGAAUUCAUACUUUUCUCUUUGAUUUGAAAUCCCACCUGUACAAAAUACUUACAUACACUAGAGUCUCUUUUUGAGCUCAUGGUUCCCUUCUGUCAAUCUCCUUUCCUUACUCCAGCACCAUAUCUUACAUAUUGUAAAAAUUUAUUUAAUAACUGGCAGUCUGAUUUUUUCGAUUCUUUUCUUCCAUCCCAAAUUUUCUUGUCAAGUAUUAUGACUUUAUUAUUCCUGAAGAAUUCCAAAAUAUUUUGUUCAAGUUAAAAAAAAUCAGAUUGGAAUUUUCAUGGGAUUUUUUAGUAAGUUUUGAAUUAUUCUUAGGAGAACUUACAUCUUUACAAAACUGCUUUUCUCCAUGCAAUAUGUUUAUGUCUCUACAUUCAUACCUCUUACUUUAACCCUCAGUACAGUCCUGAAGUUUCUCCGUUUAGAAUAUGGGCAUUAUUUUUGAAUUUAUUCCAGAUUAUUGUUUAUGUUUUUGUUAAUUUUGUAAGUGAGAAUUUUUUGCUAUUAUAUUUUUAAAUGCUUAAAACUGACAUUUAGAAAGGAAGAUUCGGUUUGUCAAUACUCACUUUGUAAAUUGUCAUUUAAAAUUGUAAGUAUUAAGUACUUGUUCCAGAAUCCUUUCUUUUCUGUUUUUAAAAAUUUGUUUCCAAGAUUCUCAAAAUGUUCAUAGCUAAGUAGUAUAGGUGGGGAGACAGAUGGAGAGAGGUAGUGUGGCUCACGUACAAACUGUGAGCACUUUCAUGGCUGCCUUUAGGCUGGAGAAGCCGCAGAAGAGCCCAGGUUAGACCGGGGGUGGCUUUGUAUGCACUUGAAAGCCAGCUUUCCUGCCUGUAUGGUGAAGCCUGGUGGGCGUGGCAGGUAGGUGAUCAAGAUCCAAUGAAGGUCAUUGGCUGCACAGAGUGCUGUGUUUGUGAGAACUGGAGACCUCUGUCAUGGGAAAUGCUUGGUGCCAGGAACACUGCAGGGGAACUGGGGAGCCUGUGUGUUAAGGAUUUUCCAGUCCUGGGAGUGGGAAGAUGAGACUCUGCAUUCAGAUCUGAGUUUGAAUUCAUCCUCUUUAGUUUACUUGUCCUCUGACUUUUGUCAACUUAUACAUCCUCUUUGAACCCCUGUUUUCUUGUCUCUCAAAACAGGAGAAUUACAGCCUGCUGCUAGACUGUUUGAUCAGUGUAAAUGAUUUGUGUCUAUAAGAUGCCACGUACAGUCACAAUCUCAGUGAGAAAUGGGCUGUCGCCUCUUCUUCUGCAACUCAGUGCUCGAUAAGACAUCGGGGGAAAGCCAGUCCCUAAUUUGUAUGUGAUGCAAUGAGGAACAAAUUUAACGUCUUGCCUUUCCCUAGCAGUAUUCUUACUUCUUUGCUUCAUUUACCUUUUUCCUCCUUUACUCUCCCCUUUCACCUCCUCCACCAAAAGAGACUGAGUCUGUCUCAGAACACUAGAUUCAAGUUACUUUAAAUGUUGGCUCAUCCCCAUGAAAUUACAGUGAAAUUAAAAAAAAUCUGUACACGUCCCAGACAUGAUUAUAUUUGAUUUACACACACACACACACACACACACACACACACACACACAAUCAGGCUUCCUCCCAUUUGCUGAGGGAGAAGGACCGCUUUUUCUGAGUUUUCAUUCACUGAGCGUGAGAGCAAAGUCUCUUAAGCAGAAAUUCGCCUGGCUUCUUGCAUGGUUUUUUAAAUUGGAUUUCUGCUUUGUGUCCACAGAAAUAUUCUCCUAUUAGAAGAGGGGAAGUGGAGACAUAGAUAUUCUGCUGAGAUAUUGUUGUCAUCAUAUUUGAGUUGGAAAGGACUUACGACAGCAUAGAGUCGUAACAUUUUAUGGGUGAGAAUCCAUGAUAGUGUAACUUGGACAAGAACGCGGGUCUUCUGUCUUCGUGUCCACGUGGAUGAAGAGGCAACUGGGUGGGGGAUGGCAGGGAUCCUUGCUUGAGUUCCGGGGUCUUGCUAGUUUCCAUUGUUCAGCUGCCUUUAGUUUAUGUCCAUGUGGCCUCUCAUGGGAAGGUCACUCUAUCCUGAUAGAUUGAGUUUCUAAUCAGCAAAAAGGUCUGGACCCACUCAUGGUUCCCAGAGAUUUUCGGCUGACCUGCUGACACUUUAUAUACAUGAGACCUAAGAAACUGCUGGAUAUAAAAUCCUUAUUGUUAUCGUUUGCCCUCGAGUUCCACAGGAAUGGGGUGCUGUCUCAGGCUGUCUAAGGCCAGCUCUGAACAAAGAUAGGGUGAUAGGCUGUGCAGCUGGACACUCCCAAGUCGAAUGGGAUUUCCACCUUAGUUUUUAGAAUCAGGCAGAUUAGUUCAAAUCUUGCCUUUACCAGUUAUUAUCUUUGUGACCUUGAGGAAGAAACUUUACUUUUUUGGGGACAAAUUUUCUUUAUCUGUAAAUAAGUUCAGUAUUUAUUUUAGGGUUUUUGUUUUUGAAUUGAAUGAGCUAAUUCCCUCAUUUAUUCCUAAAAUACUGAUCACAUGGUUCUAUGCUGGUGACUUAGUGGUUGAUUACUAAGCGACUCAGCAGUGAGAAUGUGGGUGAGGAUCCCUGGAUAAUAGAGCUUAUAUUCCAGGAUAUGCUUGUAAAAGACUGGAUUGCAGUGGAUUUUUAGUAAAUGUCCAUUCCUUUCCUAAUCCCCAUUGAUUGUGUAUAUAUCUUUACACUAAUAUAUGAACAAUUUUUUAUUGCAAUUUAAGUCUUUUUGUAGUAUUUAAACUAUGUAGGUAUAACAAAAAUACGUGAAAUAAAAUGAUUUGACUUUUAUUUUCUUUUCAAUAAGCAAAACAAAAUAAAAUAGAAAAGAAAAGAAGAAGUUUUGAAGGAGUAGAAAUAAUUUUAUUUCCGUGGAAUCAACUCCCUAUGUUAGGUUUUUCGGUUGUGUUCUUAAAUAGCAUAUAAAAUUGACAGGUUUUGACUUCAGUGUUGAUAGCUGGGUGAGUAUAGUUUCUUUUUGUGGUUGUCUUUGAUGAAUUAUUUGCACUAGAUCAUAAAUAAUGUGCAUGUUACAUAUUGGAAACGAGGAAUCAGUGGAGACAUACUACCACCAAUGCAGUCAUUUUGUUACCGAGUCCAAACUCAUUCUGUUCACCAAAUGACAGGCCAAUAAACUGGGAGAUGAGGUGUUGGAGCAAGAAAUAGUGACUUUAUUUGCAAAGCUGGCAGACCCAGAAGAUGGCAGACUGAUGUCCUGGAGAACCAUCUUCCCCAAGUCAGAAUUGUGUCUGCUUUUAUACUAAAAAGGGGCGGGGCUGCGGUUGGUUGUUGGAAACUUCUUGUUGUAUGAAUUGCUUGUCCUUUGAAUCCGCUGUUCUUGCAGCUGUCCAUGUGGAUCAAAUCAUGUUGCACCUGUAAAACUUCCAAAAAUAAAACAAAGUUAUUCUCCAUUUUGCAACUUGCCAUCUCUACAUAAGUGCAGAUUAGCUAGCAUCCUUCAAGAUCACGGCCAGGAGAAGAGGCUGUCCUGGAUAUUUCAGUAUAAAGGCAACUUUCUUUUACAAAUGGUGCAGAGAUAACAAGGCUGAGCCUAGAAAACAGGGCACAGGGUUAAAGCCAAAGGAAGAGACCUAACAUGGGGUCAAAAUUGUUCUUUUCUAUUACAAUUCCCUUUUCUGCUUCAUAGAUAAUUUUAGUAAGAAACAUGAGCAAUUUUGUAUUUUUGCUUCUUAAUAACCGAUAAGUGGGCCAGCUAUAUUUUUGUGAGCAGAGAUGCUGUGCGGGCAUAGGGGUCACAGCGAACUCUUGUUGGGGGUGGCCGACCCUGGAACAUGUCUGAUACCCCGUGAGUGUUGGUGAGGGUCCCCCUAGCCAGCGGCUCUCUUCAGGAGCCAGCAUAUGGGCAUUGAUAUCUGGAGACCUCAUUUUCUGCAGCAGGAAAUUUUUUAGAUACUGCGAUUGAAAAAUCACUCCAGCUGGGGAUAAUUAGGGAAAAAAGGAAAAGGAAAAGGGUUUGGAGUAGAGUAGAAGAGAAGGACAUAAGAUCACGGAGCCUGAGUGCUUGGCAGCGGGGCUUCGGGGGAGAGGGGAGCAGACGUGGGGAGGGGCCUGGCCCCGGAACCAGCUCCUGCACCUGUCCCCGUGCCCAAGCCACAUAGCAUUUAAUUGGGCCACCUCUCUGGGCUGGAUGUCACCCUGUGCAGAACCUUGAGAAUCGAAGGUAAGGGGUGGGCAGCACUCACCGAGGGGGUCACUGUGGAUUUCUGUCAAGUCCACAGUGCCUUUUCUGGUCAUGUGUCUUCACUUGUCCUUUAUCUCAGGAUCUGAGGAGGAGGAGAAAGGAACUCAGGUAGAGAUCCAGGAAGAUAUCCGACUGUGUUAAGAGAGGACAGACACAGUGACACGGGGAGCGUAGACACGUGCAGCAAAGUAAAAUUACUUCACAACUAUUGCUUCAGAGCUGCAGGUGUGAGAUAGCCUAAGCCUGUCUCAGAGUGCAGGGGACAAGCAGAAAGGAAUUUCAAAAUUUCCACAGAAAAUUGAAAUUCUGUUAAAUAGCCUGCUACUGUUGCUUGUAUCACUUGAAUGAAUGCAGGCAUAUUUCUGUGGGCAUUUAUAGGUUCACUCAACCCCACCAGCCCCUCUUGCCCCCAUCGGGGAUGGGAUUUCUCAAGCACAGUGCCCCUCCUGCUUGGGUGGGCCACGCUGCGGGUCCUCGCCUGGGGCCGGGCUGCUGCAUGGCACUGAGUCCCCGAGGCGCGGCCUGGGAGACACGACAGGAAUAUCUCUGCUCUCGACUGAGGGCCUCCUUUUCCCCCUGCAGUGUAAGAAUGCCGGUGACUGAGUUAGAAGCAUGCUCCCAAGCUGUCCGUGUCCUUGCCAUUCAGAAGCGGACCCUGGAAGCUUCCGAAUUUCUCCAGAAUGCAUUCUACAUUCACCUUCGGCAGGGCCUGCAACAUGAGCAUCCCUGACUACGUGCAGUGUGCUGAGGAUUAUGAGACUCUUCCCGUGGUGGUCCAACCAGUGGGGAUCAUCUCAGAGGAGAAUUUCUUUUGCAUCUAUAAGCGAAUCUCCUUGGUGAGCAAAAUCAGCCCGUGCAGCUCCCAGGGCGCACUCUGUAUGCACUACAGGCACCACUAUGCGCCCGACAAUGGAUGGAGCGGCUUCCAGACCCACCGCAAGGUCGUGGGCCUUGUCACCAUUUCUGACUGCCUCUCGGCCAAUGCCAUCGGGAAGCACCAUGUUCAGAGGAGCUGUAUGGCACCACGCUCUAUGACUCUCAGCUCUUUGUCUUUGUGCUGCAUGGGGAGGUAGCCAAGCAGCCGCGCACCGACGUGGCCUUCAAACUACGAGGACUGCAGGGUGGUGAAGAAGAGGAUCGAGGACUUCACUGAGUCACUCUUAAUCUUGCUCAAGUCCAAGUGGCUGGAUGGGGCCCCUGACAAGUCUGGGGACAAGAUCCCACUCCUCUGCAUGCCGUUUGAGAAGGAGGACUUCAUGGGACUGGACACAGACAGCAGGGUCCUGUGAUCUACACGCCCGCACACCCUUCUGCUCCUUGGGGAUGAGGUGGCAGGUUUAGGUGCUUGGGCACUGCUGUGGGCACAGCUGCCAGCACCGGGCUACAACGAGGCUGGCUCCAUUCACCUCACAUGUCACCUCCUGCUGAGCCCCCAGGCGUUAGUCAAGUACGUUUUGGUUACUGAGACCCUCGAAUUCCAAUAUGAAUUGUAGCAGCAGCUAGUCAGUUACUGCAGAGGAGCCCACUGGGAUUGUGAUAGAGACCACGUUGAAUAUGUGGAUCGCUCUGUGGAGCACUGCCAUUCCAAGAGCGCUGUCAUCUGAUCCAGGAAUGUGCGUGGUGUGUCUGUCCAGGCGGCAGCGUGCUCUCUUACCAGCAUCAGGAGCUCAGGGCCACGGGAUGGUGGGGGCUGACUGCACUGCCGUCAAGACAGGUGCCCUCACCUCCAGUGGCAUCCAUCUAGACACCAGCACUGACACUGGCCGUGCUCAGAACUGCCUCAGCCCUGAAGACACAACUGACAAAUAGAAGGGGGCUGCGCACUGUUACAGCAGGUGCUCUCACUUUGUGGGUCCUUAUGUAACUGUGUGGUGUUAAGCAGGAUCGCCCGUUCUACAUUGUGUGACGCUGCUGCCGUGUCUCCUAGUUAUUGUUUCUUGUUAGAAUGCCGAUGACUCAGUUAGAAGCGUGCAUCCAAGCCGUUCUUCCUUGUCAUCACCAUCUGGAAGCGGUACCUGAAUCUUCUGAAUUUCUCCAGAAUGUGGUUUACAAUCACCUUCGACAAGGCCUGCAACAUGAGCAUCCCUGACUACGUGCAGUGUGCUGAGGACUAUGAGACUCUCCCCGUGGUCGUCCAACCCGUGGGGAUCAUUUCAGAGGACAAUUUCUUUUGCAUCUAUAAGCGAAUCUCCUUGGUGAGCCAGAUCAGCCCUUGCGGCUCCCAGUGGGCACUCUGUAUCCACUAAAGGCACCACUAUGCGUUUGAGAAUGGGUGGAGUGACUUCCAGACACACCGCACGGUCGUGGGCCUUGUCACAAUUUCUGACUGCCUCUCGGCCAAUGCCAUCGGGAAGCACCAUGUUCAGAGGAGCUGUAUGGCACCACGCUCUAUGACUCUCAGCUCUUUGUCUUUGUGCUGCAUGGGGAGGUAGCCAAGCAGCCGCGCACCAAUGUGGCCUUCAAACUACGAGGACUGCAGGGUGGUGGAGAAGAGGAUCGAGGACUUCACUGAGUCACUCUUAAUCUUGCUCAAGUCCAAGUGGCUGGAUGGGACCCCGACAAGUCUGGGGAAAGGAUCCCCCUCCUCUGCACCUUGUUUGAGAAGGAGGACUUCAUGGGACUGGACACAGACAGCAGGGUCCUGUGAUCUACACGCCCGCACACCCUUCUGCUCCUUGGGGAUGAGGUGGCAGGUUUAGGUGCUUGGGCACUGCUGUGGGCACAGCUGCCAGCACCGGGCUACAACGAGGCUGGCUCCAUUCACCUCACAUGUCACCUCCUGCUGAGCCCCCAGGCGUUAGUCAAGAUCGUUUUGGUUACUGAGAACCUCGAAUUCCCAUAUGAAUUAUAACAGCAGCUAAUCAGUUUUUGCAGAGGAACCCGCUGGGAUUGUGAUCGAGACCACGUAGAAUAUACGGAUCACUCUGGGGAGCACUGCCAUUCCAAGAGCACUGUCUUCUGAUCAAGGAAUGUACGUGGCGUGUCUGUCCAGGUGCCCUCACAUCCAGUGGCUUCCAUCCAGACACCAACACUGGCACUGGCCAUGCUCAGAACUGCCUCAGCCCUGAGGACACAAGUGACAAAUAGAAGGGGGCCGCGCCCUGUUACAGCAGGUGCUCUCACUUUGUGGGUUCUUAUGUAACUGCGUGGUAUUAAUCAGGAUCUCCCGUUCUACAUUGUGUGGCGCUGCUGCGCUGUCUCCUAGUUAUUUGUUUCUCUGUCCACGUGGGUCAAAUCAUGGUGCCCCUCUAAAACCUCCAAAAAAAACCAAAGUUGAUUCUCUAUUUUGCAACUUGCCAUCUCUACAUAAGUGCAGAAGAGUUAACAUCGUGAAAGAUCAGAGCCCGGAGAAUAGGCUCUCCUGGAUAUUUCAGGCUAAAGGCAACUUUCUUUUACAAAAGGGCCCAAGUCACACGGCUUUUAAUUGGCCCAGGACGCUCUCCUGUCUGGAUGUCACCCUGGGAAGAACCUUGAAAAUCGAAGGUAAAGGGUGGGCAGCACUCACAUAGGGGAUCACUGAGGACUUCGUUCAAGUCCACGGUGCCCUUUCUGGUCAUGUGUCUUCACUUGCCCUUCAUCUUAGGAUCUGAGGAGCAGGAGCAAGGAACGCAGGGAAAGAUCCAGGAAGACAUCAGACUGUGUUAAGAGAAGACAGUCACAGCCACACGGGGAGCGAGGACACUUGCAGCAAAGUAAAACGACUUCACAACUAUUGCAUCAGAGCUGCCGGUGUGAGAGAGCCUAAGCCUGUCUCAGAGUGCAGGGGACAAGCGGAAAGGAAUGUGUAAGAAUGCUGGUGACUGAGUUAGAAGCAUGCUUCGAAGCUGUCUGUGUCCUUGCCAUCGAGAAGUGGAGCCUGGGAGCUUCCGAAUUUCUCCAGAAUGCGGUUUACAUUCACCUUCGACAGGCUCCUCCACUCAGAUGUAAGAAUAGCCUCUUUCAACUUCUUGAUGCAGCUCCUUAAUGAAGAUUUUGUGAAGGAAACUUAGUCAAAACCUGGGAGCAUCCCUAGGAGAGAAUUCAGCAGUGUAGCAUCCUCUCCGAGCUCUAUGAGUUGAUUGGCUUCCACAGCAAGUCCGCCUUCUUCAAGCGGGUGGCCCCCGUGCAGCGCGCGGCCCCCGGCAUCACGGAGCCUGGCGGGAAGGCCUGCUACCGACUCCUUCUGCAGACGCUUCCUGGCUACAGUCUGUCGCUGGAUCUGCAGGACUUCAGCAAAGGUGUUGGAACUAAAACAUUGCUUCAGUCCCAUUAACCAUGCCUGCUUUGUGCCCUGCUGUCCUGUCUCAUCAGGGUGAAUUCUGAUUCGUUUAGAACAGAGCUCAGCAGACUUUUUCUGUCAAGGGCUUGGGAGUAAGUAUUUCAGGGUCUGCAAACCUCCUGAUCUCUGGUGCAGCUGCUCAGCUCUGCUGUUCAGACGCCAGAGCAGCCGGACAUUCCACACACCCACAGAGCUUUAUUAACAGCGGUGGCUGGGGCUGGAUUCAGUGUAUGAACUGCACUUUGUCCCCACAGCCUCCUCACUAUUGACGCCUGCACCAGAGCGUGCAUUUGCGACAACGGGUGAACUUGCACUGACACGUCAUCAUCACCCAGAGUCCAGACUUGACACUAGGAUUUACACUUGGUGGUGUGCACUCUGUGGGUUUGGACAGAUGUGCAAUGACAUGUAUCCACCGUCACAGCAUCAUACAGAGUAGUCUGUCUUAGUGACCUUAAAAUGCUCCGUGCUGCACCUCAUUCAUUGCUCCUUCCCCUCUAGCCUCUGACAGCAACUGAUCUUUUAGUCUCUGUGGUUUUCCCUUUCCCAGAACACCAUACAGUUGGAAUCAGACAGUUGCGGAACCUUCCCAGAUUGGCUUCUUUCACUUAGUAAUAAGCAUUUAAGGUUCCUCCAUGUCUUUCCAUGCCUUGAUAACUCAUUUCGUUUUAGCACCAAAUAAUAGUCCAUUUUCUGGCUGGACCACAGUUUAUCCAUUCACCUACUGAAGAACAGCUUAGUUGCUUCUGAGUUCUGGUGAUUAUGAAUAAAGCUGCUAUUAACAUCUGUAUGCAGAUUUGUGUGUGGACAUAAGUUUCCAUUUCGUCGAGUAAACACCAAGGAGCACAGUUGCUGGAUCAUAUGUUAGGAGUACGUUUAGUUUUGUAAAAAAUUGCCAGACCGUCUUCCAAAGUAUCUGGGCCAUUUUACAUUCCCACCAGCAAUGCAUGAGAAUUCCUGACGCUCCACAUCCUCACCAGCAUUCGGUGCUGUCAGUGUUCUGCGUUUUGGCAGUUCUGACAGGUGUGCAGUGGUACCUCGCUGUUUCAGUCUGUAUCCCCUUGAUGACAGAUGCUGUGGAGCAUCUUUCCAUAGACUUCUUUGGCAUCUAGAUUUCUUCUUUGAUGAGGUGUGUGUCCAGGCAUUUUGCUCAUUUUUUAAUCAGCUUGUUCAUCCUUCCUGUUGAGUUUAAAGAGAUUUUGGUAUAUUCUGGAUAUCAGCCCUUUAUCAAUGUGUCCCUGCCCUUCACCUGCAGCACCGGAGUUGUCCUUUUGGUCUCAGUGGAGUGUCAGCUCUUCAAAGAGGUUCCCUGUCUUCCCUCAGCCUAAAUACUGUCCUUGUAUUUUUCACUUUCAUUGACUCAUUUUGUUCUUUUUAAAUAGCAUUUCCCAUAAUUUGUAAGUACAUUAAGAAAAAGGGGGCAAUGAUUGAACACCACCUCCCCCACCAGGCUGUGUGCCCUGUGAGAGCAGAGGCCCUGUCCCCACUCACCGUUUCCCAUGACAGCACAUGGCACAUGUCCAUGUAAAAGUGUGUAACGUGGGGCCAAACCUGAUGAGCAGCUAUGAUGACAUGUGUUGGCUACCAUUUAUUGAGUAGACUUUGUUUCUGAUCUUAAUUAUUAAGUCACAUGAAUGAAACUUGUUUGUUUUGAAAAAUAAAACAACAAAGCACACCUCCAUUUGAUUGAUACUUUCCACUUAGCCUUCUGCCCCAGGAGGGGAUGUUCACCAUCAUUUUGUGGAGGAGGUUGGGGAGGUAAAGUAAGAGAGUGAGAUCAAAUAAAGUAAAAAUGAUAACUAUCA